rnacentral:rRNA from 1 species
UUCCCCUAGUAACUGCGAGUGAAGCGGGAAAAGCUCAAAUUUAAAAUCUGGCGGUCUUAUGGCUGUCCGAGUUGUAAUCUAGAGAAGUGUUAUCCGCGCUGGACCGUGUACAAGUCUCCUGGAAUGGAGCAUCAUAGAGGGUGAGAAUCCCGUCUUUGACAUGGACUGCCAGGGCUUUGUGAUGCGCUCUCAAAGAGUCGAGUUGUUUGGGAAUGCAGCUCAAAAUGGGUGGUAAAUUCCAUCUAAAGCUAAAUAUUGGCGAGAGACCGAUAGCGAACAAGUACCGUGAGGGAAAGAUGAAAAGAACUUUGGAAAGAGAGUUAAACAGUACGUGAAAUUGCUGAAAGGGAAACGCUUGAAGUCAGUCACGUCAUCCAGGGAUCAACCUUGCUUUUGCUUGGUGCACUUCCUGGUUUGAUGGGUCAGCAUCAAUUUUGACUAUUGGAAAAAGGCUGAGGGAAUGUGGCAUCUUCGGAUGUGUUAUAGCCCUUGGUCGCAUACAAUGGUUGGGAUUGAGGAACUCAGCACGCCGCAAGGCCGGGUUUUAAACCACGUACGUGCUUAGGAUGCUGGCAAUAUGGCUUUAAUCGACCCGUCUUGAAACACGGACCAAGGAGUCUAACAUGCCUGCGAGUGUUUGGGUGGAAAACCCGAGCGCGUAAUGAAAGUGAAAAGUUGAGAUCCCUGUCGUGGGGAGCAUCGACGCCCGGACCAGACCUUUUGUGACGGUUCCGCGGUAGAGCAUGUAUGUUGGGACCCGAAAGAUGGUGAACUAUGCCUGAAUAGGGUGAAUCCAGAGGAAACUCUGGUGGAGGCUCGUAGCGAUUCUGACGUGCAAAUCGAUCGUCAAAUUUGGGUAUAGGGGCGAAAGACU